UCCAAAUGUCUCCGUUUGUGUCCGUCCAGACUACAAAGCAACCCGGAGAUUUCAAACCAAAACGGGAGUAGCAGUGUUUCCAAAUGUCUCCGUUUUAGGGGCUCAGACACGCCGCAGCAGUGUGGACGCGAGGCGUAAAUGCAG